GUAUGCCUGUCCCUCCGCAGGUGUGGCGGCGCCUCGGACGCUCCUACUGAAACACACCUGAGGCACUGCUGACAAUAAAACUGUACAACGCAGCCUGCCUGUACUGCCCAUCACGGAGGAAGAGGGUCAGAAGAAGAAGAAGAAGAAGAAGAAGAAGAAGAAGAAGAAGAAGAAGAAGAAGAAGAAGCAACAACAACAAACAGCAACAACAACAACAACAACAGCAAGAAAAGAGAAAGAAGAAACAAUACCACCACCACUACCAGAGACAAUAACCUCAAUGUAAAGGAAUACAAAGGAAGAACAAGCCGUAGCAGACUUGUUGAGCCACAACACUGAGGGCAGGCUGGCUGAAGCAAGAGCCUCGAGUGUCGUGGUGCUCAUGGCGGGGAACAUUGCGGCAGUUUAUGGCUCGACACUUGCAACACCCGCCGCUGCUGCGAGUUUUAUCCCGCUCCCAAUGGCGCUGCUGGCAAUGCUACACUUGCUGCACCCCUGGCUGUGUCCAGCACACUCACCUGUCUGAGUUACGGUGUAGCAAGUGUCACAGUCGACAGUGAACAUCCCACACUGGACGGCAUCCAAGUGCAUGAUUCGCUUGUGUAGCUUCUCCGUCUCCAGGCAGCCAGAGCGCGACGAGUCAGGGAAGAUCUGUAACCUGGGAGAGAGAGAGAGAGAAAUAAAGUGAAAAGGUG